rnacentral:pre_miRNA from 1 species
AUGUAGUGUAGCAUGCCCGUUUGGUGAAUUACUCUGAUGAAUAUUUUAUAUUUAAAUACUUUUGGGUAACGGGGCGUUACAAGUUC